GAGGCUACAGCUCAGUGGUAGAGCGUGUGCUUAGCACGCAUGAGGUCCUGGGUUCAACCCCCAGUCACUCUA
rnacentral:tRNA from 1 species